rnacentral:rRNA from 1 species
GCAGGCCUCUCUCUUACAACCAAGAUAGAACGAGUAGUGACGGGGGCGAACACUCGCUGCCGAGAGCGGACGAGUGAGUAGUACAUCAUAGGAACUCACCCAGUAGUGGGAUGACAGUCGAAAAAAGCGUUAUAAUAGCCUCACGACGAUCUAUGGAAAAGCGGGGGAUCACAACCCCUCGCUAUUAUAGAAGCGGCCGUCGUCUUAUUCUCUAUUUGAGAGAAAAAGGCUCCACCAAGUAUACGAUCCGUAUCGUGUGUGAGAGGACGCCCCCCCACUCUGGGUGUGAGACACGCCCCAGUCUCCUACGGGAGACAGCAGUGGGGAAUUUUGCACAAUGGGCGAAAGCCUGAUCCGCCCAUGCCGCGUGUGUGAAGAAGGCCUUCGGGUUGUAAAGCACUUUUGUCCGGAACGAAACGCCAAGGGCGAAUAUCCCUUGGUAAUGACGGUACCGGAAGAAUAAGCACCGGCUAAUUACGUGCCAGCAGCCGCGGUAAUACGUAGGGUGCAAGCGUUGUUCGGAAUUACUGGGCGUAAAGGGCUCGUAGGUGGCCAACUAAGUCAGACGUGAAAUCCCUCGGCUUAACCGGGGAACUGCGUCUGAUACUGGAUGGCUUGAGUUCGGGAGAGGGAUGCGGAAUUCCAGGUGUAGCGGUGAAAUGCGUAGAUAUCUGGAGGAACACCGGUGGCGAAGGCGGCAUCCUGGACCGACACUGACGCUGAGGAGCGAAAGCCAGGGGAGCAAACGGGAUUAGAUACCCCGGUAGUCCUGGCCCUAAACGAUGAAUGCUUGGUGUGGCGGGUAUCGAUCCCUGCCGUGCCGAAGCUAACGCAUUAAGCAUUCCGCCUGGGG